UACGUAGGAUGCGAGCGUUAUCCGGAUUUAUCGGGUUUAAAGGGUGCGCAGGCGGCACGGCAAGCCGGCGGUCAAAUCGCGGGGCUCAACCCCGCCCAGCCGUCGGAACUGCCGGGCUAGAGUGGGCGAGAAGUGCGCGGAAUGCGUGGUGUAGCGGUGAAAUGCAUAGAUAUCACGCAGAACUCCGAUUGCGAAGGCAGCGCACCGGCGCCCUACUGACGCUCAGGCACGAAAGCGUGGGUAUCGAACAGG
rnacentral:rRNA from 1 species